GACGAACGCUGGCGGCGUGCCUAACACAUGCAAGUCGAACGGAAAGGACCUGCUUUCUUUGGGUACUCGAGUGGCGAACGGGUGAGUAACAGGUUAGUAACCUCCUCUUGACUUUAGGAUAACUUCAGGAAUAUCGGCCUAAUAUCGGAUCUGAUCCCCUGCUGCAUGGUGGGUGUUGGAAAGUUUGGGCGGGUGGGGAUGGACUGGCGGCUCAUUAGCUUGUUGGUGGGGUAGUGGCUUACCAAGUCGUUGAGGGGUAGCCGGCCUGAGAGGGUGACCGGCCACAAUGGGCCUGAGAGACGGCCCAGACUGCUACGGGAGGCAGCAGGGGGGAAUAUGGCACAAUGGGCGGAAGCCUGAUGCAGAAGCGCCGCGGGCGGGAAAACGGCCUUCGGGUGGUAAACCGCUUUCGCCUGUGACGAAGAGUGAGUGACGGUAAUGGGUAAAGAAGCACCGGCUAACUACGUG
rnacentral:rRNA from 1 species